rnacentral:rRNA from 1 species
CAAAUGACUCUCGGCGAUGGAUAUCUUGGCUCUUGCAUCGAUGAAGAACGUAGUGAAAUGCGAUACUUGGUGUGAAUUGCAGAAUCUCGUGAACCAUUGAGUCUUUGAACGCAAGUUGUGCCCGAGGCCUUGUGGCCGAGGGCACGCCUGCUUGGGUGUCAUGG